rnacentral:rRNA from 1 species
AGAGUUUGAUCCUGGCUCAGGAUGAACGCUAGCUACAGGCUUAACACAUGCAAGUCGAGGGGAAACGACAUCGAAAGCUUGCUUUUGAUGGGCGUCGACCGGCGCACGGGUGAGUAACGCGUAUCCAACCUGCCCACCACUUGGGGAUAACCUUGCGAAAGUAAGACUAAUACCCAAUGACGUCUCUAGAAGACAUCUGAAGGAGAUUAAAGAUUUAUCGGUGAUGGAUGGGGAUGCGUCUGAGGUUAGCUUGUUGGCGGGGUAACGGCCACCAAGGCGACGAUCAGUAGGGGUUCUGAGAGGAGGUCCCCACAUUGGAACUGAGACACGGUCCAAACUCCACGGAGGCA